UGAGAAACAGGGAGCAAGCAAAGAAGGGAAGGCAUCUUGCUGCUGUCUGUAGAGAGAGCUUCUUCUACAGGGAGGAAGCUCCUGGAGAUAAAGUUUCUGUUUCCAUUCCUUGUCCAUGGCCUUUGCAUUUACAGCAAUAAUUUUGCUCUCCUUCCUGCAGCAAGAAUGAUGAUUUGAACAAGACCAAGUGAAAGAACUGUAAGGAACAGUAGAAUAAGACUUGAGAGAAGCUGCCUUCCUCAAAGGAAUUAUUCAAAAUGCAAGCUGAGGCUUCUAAGGGGCAGCAGCAAGGCACCACCGUGGCUUUUGCAAAUGGUUUGGAGCUGAAAGCAAAGCUUGAGCCGUCUGCACUCUGCUGGGUUCCCUGCUAUGGAGAAACAUGAAAUCCAGGAUACAACUUUACAGUGACUGGGAAAAAUGUCAAGCUUUGAAAGAGCAUUUGUUGUGUCUAUGAGAGAGAACUCCAUCAAACUCAGGCCUUGGAGAGUGCUGCUGUGGAUGGCAAUGAGUGUGACUCAUCUGGCUAUAGAGCUGGAAGUGUAA
rnacentral:lncRNA from 1 species